UACGUAGGUGGCAAGCGUUGUCCGGAAUUAUUGGGCGUAAAGAGCUCGUAGGCGGUCUGUCGCGUCGGCUGUGAAAACUCGGGGCUCAACCCCGAUCCUGGAGUCGAUACGGGCAGACUAGAGUGCUGUAGGGGAGACUGGAAUUCCUGGUGUAGCGGUGAAAUGCGCAGAUAUCAGGAGGAACACCGGUGGCGAAGGCAGGUCUCUGGGCAGUAACUGACGCUGAGGAGCGAAAGCGUGGGUAGCGAACAGG
rnacentral:rRNA from 1 species